ensembl:lncRNA
AUAAAAUUAUACCUAAUUAAAUAAGACAUUACGCAUUUUGUUUUUCAGUUGCUCAGUUGUAUCUGACUCUCUGUGACCCCAUGGAGUGCAGCACACCGGGCUUCCUUGUCCUUCACCACCUCCCAGAGCUUGCUCAAACUCAUGUCCAUUGAGUUGGUGAUGCCAUCCAGCCAUCUCAUCCUCUGUUGUCCCCAUUCUCCUCCCACCUUCUAUCUUUCCCAACAUCAGGAUCCUUUGGAAUAAGUCAGCUUUUCACAUUGGAUGGCCAAAUUAUUGGAGCAUUAUUCAGCAUCAGCCCUUCCAAUGAAUAUUCAGGGUUGCUUUUCUUUAGGAUUGACCGGUUUUAUCUCAUUGCAGUCCAAGGGACUCUCAAGAGUCUUCUCCAACACCACAGUUUGAAACCAUGAAUUAUUCAUACUCAGCUUUCUUUAUGGUCCAACUCUCACAUCCCUACAUGACUAUAUAGACCUUUGUAGGCAAAGUGAUGUCUCUGCUUUUUAAUACACUGUGUAGGUUUUUCCCUGAUAGCUCAGUUCGUAAAGAAUCCACCUGCAAUGCAGGAGACCCCAAUUCAAUUCCUGGGUAGGGAAGAUCCGCUGGAAAAGGGAUAGGCUACCCACUUCAGUAUUCUGGCCUGGAGAAUUCCAUGGACUGUAUAGUCGAUGGGGUUGCAAAGAGUUGGAUACGACUGAGCGACUUUCACUUUCACUAGGUUUGUCAUAACUUUUCUUCCAAGGAGCAAGCAUUUUUUAAUUUCAUGGCUUCAAUCACCGUCUGCAUGAUUUUGGAGCCCAAGAAAAUAAAAAUUUUCACUAUUUUCAUUGUUUCCCCACCUAUAUGGCAUGAAGUGAUGGGACUGGAUCUUAGUUCUUUGAAUGUUGAAUUUUAAGCCAAUUUUUUACUCUCCUCUUUCACCUUCAUCAAGAGACUCUAUUUCUUCUUCACUUUCUGCCAUAAGGGUGGUGUCAUCUCCAUACCUGAGGUUAUUGAUAUUUCACCUGGCAAUCUUGAUUCUGAAGUUUUAGCUUCAUCUAGCC